rnacentral:rRNA from 1 species
GACGAACGCUGGCGGCGUGCCUAAUACAUGCAAGUAGGACGCUGAAGGAGGAGCUUGCUUCUCUGGAUGAGUUGCGAACGGGUGAGUAACGCGUAGGUAACCUGCCUGGUAGCGGGGGAUAACUAUUGGAAACGAUAGCUAAUACCGCAUAAUAGUAGAUGUUGCAUGACAUUUGCUUAAAAGGUGCAAUUGCAUCACUACCAGAUGGACCUGCGUUGUAUUAGCUAGUUGGUGGGGUAACGGCUCACCAAGGCGACGAUACAUAGCCGACCUGAGAGGGGGAUCGGCCACACUGGGACUGAGACACGGCCCAGACUCCUACGGGAGGCAGCAGUAGGGAAUCUUCGGCAAUGGACGGAAGUCUGACCGAGCAACGCCGCGUGAGUGAAGAAGGUUUUCGGAUCGUAAAGCUCUGUUGUAAGAGAAGAACGAGUGUGAGAGUGGAAAGUUCACACUGUGACGGUAUCUUACCAGAAAGGGACGGCUAACUACGUG